GACGAACGCUGGCGGCGUGCCUAAUACAUGCAAGUUGAGCGAUGAAGAUUGGUGCUUGCACCAAUUUGAAGAGCAGCGAACGGGUGAGUAACGCGUGGGGAAUCUGCCUUUGAGCGGGGGACAACAUUUGGAAACGAAUGCUAAUACCGCAUAACAACUUUAAACAUAAGUUUGAAGUGUGAAAGAUGCAAUUGCAUCACUCAAAGAUGAUCCCGCGUUGUAUUAGCUAGUUGGUGAGGUAAAGGCUCACCAAGGCGAUGAUACAUAGCCGACCUGAGAGGGUGGUCGGCCACAUUGGGACUGGGACACGGCCCAAACUCCUACGGGAGGCAGCAGGAGGGCAUCUUCGGCAAUGGACGAAAGUCUGACCGAGCAACGCCGCGUGAGUGAAGAAGGUUUUCGGAUCGUAAAACUCUGUUGGUAGAGAAGAACGUUGGUGAGAGUGGAAAGCUCAUCAAGUGACGGUAACUACCCAGAAAGGGACGGCUAACUACGUG
rnacentral:rRNA from 1 species